rnacentral:rRNA from 1 species
CCUACGGGUGGCAGCAGUGGGGAAUAUUGGACAAUGGGCGAAAGCCUGAUCCAGCCAUGCCGCGUGUGUGAAGAAGGCCUUCGGGUUGUAAAGCACUUUCAGUGGGGAAGAAAGCCUUGGGGCUAAUACCCUCGAGGAAGGACAUCACCCACAGAAGAAGCACCGGCUAACUCCGUGCCAGCAGCCGCGGUAAUACGGAGGGUGCGAGCGUUAAUCGGAAUUACUGGGCGUAAAGCGCGCGUAGGCGGUCUGAUAAGCCGGUUGUGAAAGCCCCGGGCUCAACCUGGGAACGGCAUCCGGAACUGUCAGGCUAGAGUGCAGGGGAGGAAGGUAGAAUUCCCGGUGUAGCGGUGAAAUGCGUAGAGAUCGGAAGGAAUACCAGUGGCGAAGGCGGCCUUCUGGACUGACACUGACGCUGAGGUGCGAAAGCGUGGGUAGCAAACAGGAUUAGAUACCUAGUAGUC